rnacentral:misc_RNA from 1 species
GAUGAAGAACGUAGCGAAAUGCGAUAAGUAGUGUGAAUUGCAGAAUUCAGUGAAUCAUCGAAUCUUUGAACGCACAUUGCGCCCCUUGGUAUUCCGAGGGGCAUGCCUGUUCGAGCGUCAUUUCAACCCUCAAGCACAGCUUGGUCUUGGGCUUCGCCGCUAACCCGGCGGGUCUUAAAAUCAGUGGCGGUGCCGUCGGGCCCUGAGCGCAGUAAUCUCUCUCGCUAUAGGGUCCCGGCGGAUGCUGGCCAGUAACCCCCAAUUUUCUAUGGUUGACCUCGGAUCAGGUAGGGAUACCCGCUGAACUUAAGCAUAUCAAUAAGCGGAGGA